AUUGAACGCUAGCGGGAUGCCUUACACAUGCAAGUCGAACGGAUUGGCGAACGGGUGAGUAAUGUAUCGGAACGUGCCCAUUAGCGGGGGAUAACUACGCGUAAGCGUAGCUAAUACCGCAUACUAUUGGCGCGGCCGAUAGCGGAUUAGCUAGUUGGUGGGGUAACGGAUCACCAAGGCGACGAUCCGUAGCUGUUUUGAGUGUACGACCAGCCACACUGGGACUGAGACACGGCCCAGACUCCUACGGGAGGCAGCAGUGGGGAAUUUUGGACAAUGGGGGAAACCCUGAUCCAGCCAUCCCGCGUGUGCGAAGAAGGCCUUCGGGUUGUAAAGCACUUUCAGCGAGGAGGCGUUACUCGCAGAAGAAGCACCGGCUAACUCCGUGCCAGCAGCCGCGGUAAUAC
rnacentral:rRNA from 1 species